GACGAACGCUGGCGGCGUGCCUAAUACAUGCAAGUAGAACGCUGAAGGAGGAGCUUGCUUCUCCGGAUGAGUUGCGAACGGGUGAGUAACGCGUAGGUAACCUGCCUGGUAGCGGGGGAUAACUAUUGGAAACGAUAGCUAAUACCGCAUAACAGUAGAUGUUGCAUGACAUUUGCUUAAAAGGUGCAAUUGCAUCACUACCAGAUGGACCUGCGUUGUAUUAGCUAGUUGGUGAGGUAACGGCUCACCAAGGCGACGAUACAUAGCCGACCUGAGAGGGUGAUCGGCCACACUGGGACUGAGACACGGCCCAGACUCCUACGGGAGGCAGCAGUAGGGAAUCUUCGGCAAUGGACGGAAGUCUGACCGAGCAACGCCGCGGGAGUGAAGAAGGGUUUCGGAUCGUAAAGCUCUGUUGUAAGAGAAGAACGAGUGUGAGAGUGGAAAGUUCACACUGUGACGGUAUCUUACCAGAAAGGGACGGCUAACUACGUG
rnacentral:rRNA from 1 species